rnacentral:lncRNA from 1 species
UUCAAUGGAAUUAUCAUUGCACACCUUACAAAAUCCAGUGUCACUCUGAUCCUUAGACCAUUUUUUAGUUCGCUGUUGGAGAGGGAGGGUGUUUGAACGGAGCUUAAAUUUUAUUGAUGCUCCUUCAAAAUCAGUACCGUCAAGAAGGUACUCCUCCAUACUUCGUGACGUUUUAAUUAAUGAAUAUUUUACAAUCAAAGGUUUGCUUUUAAUAUCAUCCUUCCAGCAAUUUAACGAAUUUUGUUUUAGAGCAUGUUUUAUUUCAAUUACAAUUACUAUCUGUUGCUUUCUGCAUGAAUGGAUGCUUCUAUUGUGUUAUAUGUAAAUUGCGGAGAGUGCUAUCUUGCUAUGCAUUUGCUGUGCAUUUAGCUUAUAUCCUAGGGUACUUGCUAUGUUAUGGUUGAAAUGUGAAUACAAUGAUUGCUAGUUGCAACACUGAAGAUUCACAAUAAAAUAUGAAAAUGCUCUUUUUAGGCAUUCACUAUAUAAACAAUGAUAACUUCCUCCCGUAGAGCCUUGAGCACUAAUGCAGUUGAUGUGUGCGAUUUAUAGAUCUUAUUAUUAUUAUUAUUAUUAUUAUUAACAGUGUGAAGCAAUAUGUGUUAUAGAAUACAAACAUAUUUUUGGUGUUGUUGACAUCAUGAAUCAUCAUUUAAUGACUUCUAAUGUACAUAAAUUUAAUUUUUAUCUGAUUUUAGUUAAAGUUGCAAUGGAGUGAAAAGUACAAGGAUUGGAUGGCGGCAACGGAAUUAAAGAUAUCAGAGUUACAAGCAGCUAACAAUCUCUUGAGGCAAUAUGUCAAGCCACCUGGUAAAGAUUAAUUCUACCACUAUUAUUAAGAUGAUUGCUCUGUUAACUUGAAGGAGACAAAUUGUGUAGAAAUGAGGAAAUCCUCUAUGAUGUCUAUGUACUCUCCAUACACUGCUGAAGCUGUUAAUGCACUUAGACUCUUUAGAUGUUAUCUUCCUAAUAAUACAAUGGAAAAGCACAAAAAAAACAGUAUGGUACUAUAAUAAUAAUAGUAAUAGUGUACAUUUCUAUUUAGCACCAGUAUCCAUCAAACAAGAUGCUCAUGGUGCUUGAUGUGUGACUAGCAGCUCAUACAGUGACUUUUCUUUGCCCCUAAGGGUCCUUUGUGUCUGUGCUACCCGGUAAACCGGUAUCAGCAUCUCUCAGUGUCCACACAUGAGCUGACUGUACCGGUACAACGGAGUAUCCCCUACUUGUCUCGAAUGAUGUACUCUUUUCUUUAUAUGAGCAUAUAGUGCACACAACCAAUUGUGCACAAAAUGUGAUAUGCAAUAUUCCUUUAUUUGGUAAAGAGUGUGAUUUUUUUCAUACCAAAAAUAUCUUUGUAUGGUGUUUUAAAAGCCACUUUCAAGUUUUAAUAAAAGCAAAUAAUAUAGAAAUCUAUUCAUUUUACUAAAUCUGAAAACUUAUAAAUAAAUAUUUAAUAUCAGCAUUAUAUAUAUAAAUAGAUCCACCUGUUGAUAUAUGUUGCCUUCAUCUCGUUGCCUUUAUUUUAAUUGUUGCUACAGUAUAGGGCAAACUACUGUAUUGAUUACUGUAGAUUUUAAUUUUUAUGUAAACAUACAAUGCCGUAGUUGAGAUAUUAGUUUACGAAAUGUGUGUAUAUUUGUGUAAUAUUUAAUAAUUGCUAUAAAUAAUUUAAUCAAUGUGAUCUUUCACAAGCUUACAUAAUAAACAAAAAACGAACAG